rnacentral:rRNA from 1 species
CCUACGGGUGGCAGCAGUGAGGAAUAUUGGUCAAUGGACGAGAGUCUGAACCAGCCAAGUAGCGUGAAGGAUGACUGCCCUAUGGGUUGUAAACUUCUUUUAUAUGGGAAUAAAAUGUUUCACGUGUGGGAUUUUGUAUGUACCAUAUGAAUAAGGAUCGGCUAACUCCGUGCCAGCAGCCGCGGUAAUACGGAGGAUCCGAGCGUUAUCCGGAUUUAUUGGGUUUAAAGGGAGCGUAGGUGGAUUGUUAAGUCAGUUGUGAAAGUUUGCGGCUCAACCGUAAAAUUGCAGUUGAAACUGGCAGUCUUGAGUACAGGAGAGGUGGGCGGAAUUCGUGGUGUAGCGGUGAAAUGCUUAGAUAUCACGAAGAACUCCGAUUGCGAAGGCAGUUCACUGGACUGCAACUGACACUGAGGCUCGAAAGUGUGGGUAUCAAACAGGAUUAGAUACCCCUGUAGUC